AUUGAACGCUGGCGGCAGGCCUAACACAUGCAAGUCGAGCGGAUGAAGGGAGCUUGCUCCUGGAUUCAGCGGCGGACGGGUGAGUAAUGCCUAGGAAUCUGCCUGGUAGUGGGGGAUAACGUCCGGAAACGGGCGCUAAUACCGCAUACGUCCUGAGGGAGAAAGUGGGGGAUCUUCGGACCUCACACUAUCAGAUGAGCCUAGGUCGGAUUAGCUAGUUGGUGGGGUAAAGGCCUACCAAGGCGACGAUCCGUAACUGGUCUGAGAGGAUGAUCAGUCACACUGGAACUGAGACACGGUCCAGACUCCUACGGGAGGCAGCAGUGGGGAAUAUUGGACAAUGGGCGAAAGCCUGAUCCAGCCAUGCCGCGUGUGUGAAGAAGGUCUUCGGAUUGUAAAGCACUUUAAGUUGGGAGGAAGGGCAGUAAGUUAAUACCUUGCUGUUUUGACGUUACCAACGGAAUAAGCACCGGCUAACUUCGUG
rnacentral:rRNA from 1 species